AGGCUGAGGGUUCUCCAGAAGACCAAUAACAUCUGAAAAACAUGCUUUUAGUGCUUCGGAAUGAAAUGAGAGUAAUUAACAGGGAUUUAACAGACAAUAACAUACCAACGGAUAAAGCAUGGUAAUUUUCCUGACCAUCUCGUCCAACCAAGUAAUCCAGCUCUUGCAAUGUUUUGUAAUUGAAUUUGUGCCGAGCUAUCAUCCCGGUGUCGUGUACAUGAGGAGUGAUAGAUGUGAAGUUUGUAAGCAAGAUCAUCUUUGAAUUUGGCACUGGUCUGAAAUCGAC
rnacentral:lncRNA from 1 species